rnacentral:rRNA from 1 species
UACGUAGGGGGCAAGCGUUGUCCGGAAUCAUUGGGCGUAAAGCGCGUGUAGGCGGCUCGGAAAGUCUGGUGUGAAAUCCUGCGGCUCAACCGCAGACUGUCACUGGAUACUGUCGAGCUUGAGUCCGGAAGAGGAGUGUGGAAUUCCUGGUGUAGCGGUGGAAUGCGCAGAUAUCAGGAGGAACACCAAUGGCGAAGGCAGCACUCUGGUACGUGACUGACGCUGAGACGCGAAAGCGUGGGGAGCGAACAGG